CACACGUUCUUCAACCACCAUAGCCCCAUUUUAAUAAAACCCUUACAAUCUGCAGUUCAUCUUGCCAUUCCAAAAGAAAUAAGAUCCGCAAUUCAUCUUAUCGUGGUCUACUCAUCCAUAGAAACCAUCGUCCUUAUUUGAGAAUUUAAGGUGCGAUCGAGGCUCGAGAGGCCUGGUCAAUCGGAGCUAUCAUCAUCAACCUUGGUCGACUAAAGGGGGCAGUGACCGCACCAUCAUCAACUAGGUUCAAUGCGUUCCAUGUACAUCGCUUAAAUUUAAAUCCAAUUGUUGCUUCCCAGAUUUGUGGCAUAAUUUUUGAUGAAUGGUAUGAUUGAUGUCAUGAUUUGGGAAAUGGAACAUUUGGAGAAGACGAACUCAAUUCUCCGGAGUUGAAGCACUAACUUCAAUUUGGUGAAACAAGAGCCAUUUGAUUCCGGUAAUUUUGAUAUUGACGAAGCCGAAGGAGCGAGAGAAGAAUGUUUAAUCAGCGACGAAGAAGAGUAAAAACAUCUCAAAUGAAACCAACAACGACAAGCUUCCAUACGUCCAUGUUCAUGCUCGGCGGGUCAAGCAACAGAUAGCCAUAGCUUAGCGGAACCAGUAACCAUCUUAGUCAACAUAAAAUUGGUGCAAUUAAUUAAGCUUAACUUAAUUACUGGUAUUUUUAUCCAAUUUUGGUAGGCAAUAGGAGAGAAGAUAAAUUCUUGACUGAAGCUUCAUACAAUUAUUACAAUUUUGUUGAACAUUAACUCUAACUUUGAGUUUGAUUAAACGUGGCUAUUGAUAUCGAGUUAGAGAUAUCUCCAGGGAGUGCAAUAUUCAAUCAUGCAAAAAGGUUCUACGGGAAGUGCGAAGUUUGUACUCUAUACCAGAAGCUUCAUUUGCCAAAGCUUGCAUCAUUAUAGAUAAGGGCAGGG